UACUCCAGUAAAGUACAGAUACUUGAAAAAAAGGACUUAAGUACAGUAACGAAGUACAGAUACUCCGUUAUUGUCCACCACUGGUGAUACAUGGCAAUACACUUCUUCACUGAUAUAUUUAAUGCCCUCAUCAUUUUUUCUUACAACGUCUAAACCCAAUUAAACCCAUAUCAUUGGCAUUACUGGUGUCAUGAUCUACUUCUCUUUGUUUCCACAGUUGCUGGUUCAUCUUUGUUUUUGCACAGACAUACAUACAUAAAGUCUCUCUGCAGGUCACAGUAGAGGGUUUCAUCUGUGGUUCUGUUGUCCUGCCGUGUUCUUCAGCUCAACAUGAUCUGAAACUUCAAGACACUAAUGUCCACUGGAGAGACAAAAAUGACAAAAUUGUGUACAGUAUAAUUAAGGGCAAACAUUCAGUAGUAGGACAAGAGACACAGUACAAGAACAGAGCUGAAACUUUUCCGAAUGAGAAUCUGAGAAGAAACUUCUCCAUCAAACUUACUUCUCUCUCUCACGCUGAUGCAGGAAAAUACAUCUGUUUCAUCACAAACCCAUCUGAUUCUCAACAGAGGACUGUAGAGCUGAUCAUCAGCGAGUCAACAGCAGAAAAAGGAAAUGGAUCAAGAGACAAAGAAAACCAAAGAGAAGAUUCAGGAGCAGACAGUUUGGGGAAAUCAGUGCUCCGGGUUUGCAUUGUAGUUAUUGUAUUAGGGUUAAUAGCCUGUUAAAUAAUAUUUCACUUGAGAGUGUUUGUGGUCUGUCACACUUUGAAAAUCUUAUAAAAUGUAAAACAGUUUUAAUAUAUUAUAAUAAUUACUAAUUUGUGGUUAAAGCUUUUAAGAGUAUGAUUUAUAACACAAUGAACAUGUUGCUUCCACUUUGACAAUGGAUAAUAAUUAUCAUAGUUAUAAUGCAGUAUAAUGCCCUAUUAGGACAGUACUAGUUUUCUAAACUAUUUUAGAAACCAGUUUUAUACAUCUGGGCGUUUCAGAGAUCACACGCUCUGUAUGCGUGCAUUGCGCAGGCUAUAGUCAUUCGGAUUGAUAACCAUUAGCAUAAUCAGUUUUACUACAAAUACCAUGAUGAAGCUAGUAGUAAAACCAUGUUAAUGUGUGGUAAAAUUUUUUUUAUUUACAUUACAUUAUUUUCAGUUGGAGUAUUAAGCUCACAUGAAUUAAUUAACAUCAGCUCCACGGGAAACACUCAAACAUCUAACCACUCACAAGCUGUAGAAAGAUACUGUAAUGAUGAGACAGAGAGAUUCGGAUCCAUGUGCAGAACUUUUAAUGAGAAUGGUCAGACAGGCAAUGAUC